GAGAGAGGCAGGCGAAAACGAGCCCUCUCCUCCUCCUCCGGGUCCGGGAGAAGAGGCGAAGGAGGCGGCUCCGACGUGGAGGGAAGCUUUCUUUCUCCUCCCUGAAUUACGAAGAAGGAAAUGAAUGAGCGAAUAGUUUGACGCUCUCUCUGGGCCCCGCUCGCUCCAGCACAGGCGACACGUCGAAUCCAAAAGAGAACCAGGCCAAAGGAAAGGGGUGAGGGAAGAAAUGAGAGGGAGGCAGCCUCCUCCUCCUCUUCUUCUUCUUAGGUUACCUCAGCAUCCAUUUCAGGCUCAAGCCUUUCCCCCCCUGACCUUAGGGCCCUUCCACACAGCCAUAGACCCCAGAAUAACAAGACAACCCCCCCCCCCCCACACAAUAUCUGCUUUGAACUGGGCUGUCUGGGCCCCCUUCCACACAGCCCUAGAACCCAGAAUAUCAAGGCAGAAGAAUCCCACAACAUCUGUUCUGAACUGGGUUAUCUGUGGCCCCUUCAACACAGCUGAAUAAAAGUCCACAUUUGUUGCUUUGAAAGGGGUUAUAUGGCAAUGUGGACUCAGGCCCCUUCCACAAAGCUGAAGAAAAUCCCACGUUAUCCGCUUUGAUAUCCGGGAGGGCCUUUGCACAACUCAAACUUGUGCGCCAACUGCGACCAUACCUCGUGAAGUCUGACUUGAUCACGGUGGUUCAUGCCUUAGUUACCUCUAGACUGGACUACUGUAAUGCGCUCUACGUGGGGCUUCCCUUGAAGACGGCCCAGAAAUUACAAUUGGUCCAAAGCUCGGCUGCCAGAUUAAUAACGGGGGCAAGCUACAGGGAGAGAUCCACUCCCUUGUUUAAGGAGCUUCACUGGCUGCCGUUCAUCUUCCGGUCCCAAUUCAAGGUGCAGACCAUCAUCUAUAAAGCCCUAAACGGUUUGGGACCCACCUACCUCCGUGACCGUAUCUCCUUCCAUAAACCUGCCCGAUCUUUGUGAUCAUCCGGGGAGGCCCUUUUAUCACCACUGUCUAUAUCCCAGGCCCGCCUUGUGAGUACAAGGGAGAGGGCCUUUUCUGCUGUGGCCCCCCGACUAAGGAACUCACUACCUACUGAAAUCAGGCAAGCUCCCACUUUGUUAGCUUUUAGGAAAGACUUGAAAACAUGGCUCUUCCGCUGUGCUUUCGUUUGAAUUUGAGUCAGCGAGAGCUGGACUACAAGGAAGUCUGAGCGAAGGAAGAUGAACAAUUUUAAACUGCGGUGUUGGAGGAAAAUUCUGAGAGUGCCUUGGACUGCAAGAAGAUCCAACCAGUCCAUCCUCCAGGAAAUAAUGCCUGACUGCUCACUGGAGGGAAGCAUAUUAGAGGCAAAGAUGAAGUAUUUUGGCCACAUAAUGAGAAGACAGGAAAGCUUGGAGAAGACAAUGAUGCUGGGGAAAAGGGAAGAAAAAAGGAAGAGGGGCCAACCAAGGGCAAGAUGGUAUCCUUGAAGUGACUGGCUUGACCUUGAAGGAACUGUCAGUGGCGACAGCUGACAGGGAGCUCUGGAGUGGGCUGGUCCAUGAGGUCAUGAAGUGUUGGAAGCGACUGAACGAAUAAACUGCCACAGCCCUUAAAAUUAGCCUAUCCAGCUGCUUCUUACAGACCCUUUAUUCUACAGAUGAGUUGAAAAUUGUAGAAAUGAUAAAUUCUCUUCAUAAAAUGCUAUCCGAAUUGGACUCCAUAAUGAUGAAUCCCAAAGUCCAUUCGGGACAGUAUGUUUUGACCUCUCUUUUAAUUCUAAGCUAACCUUCAAUGAACUUCUCCUUGGGUUGCCUAAGCUUUUCUCACACCCCAGACCUCAGGGGAUAGCCACACAUUGAGCAAAAUCCUAAUAUAAAACCCUGGAAAAGUUAUACGGAACACAUAAUGGGUUUCUCGGAAGAGCCACAAGGGUUCUCAUAAUGUUAUCUGAUUUUGCCCCGGGAACGUUUCCUUGUUUAAAGUGUUGUGCCAGAUCCCCUUCCAUGAGGUGUCAAUUGUAUAUGCUACAACAUCAUGAGCACCUUUUGUUUUCCAGAAUGGAACUCAUUGUAUUCAACAGAGAGAUCAAAACCCAUUUCAUCCCAUCAUCGCAUGCCCCACUGCAUUCCUUUCUGAUCUCUCCCCUCUCUUAAGCGGAUCAGUAAAUGGACACAUCUUCAAAUUAAUCCAAUGACAACUGAUUAAAUUUCCCACCAUGACUGGAGCCAACCUGUGAUGAUGAUGGACAAAGUCCCAGAUCAACCAGGGAGUGGAUCCUAGUUGGCCACAUUUUGGACCAAUCAGAAGCUAGCGCAGCAAUGUGCCUAUGUUUUGAAGAGCUGUCAAAGUGCUAUAAAUAUUUCUAUAUGUCUGUCUUUAGGAGAGCAGACUACACUGACAUCCUCUUUGUCCAAGGAGAAUAAAUGCCUCUGAUUUUGCCUUCAA